rnacentral:tRNA from 2 species
UGGUAGCUCAGUCGGUAGAGCAGAGGACUGAAAAUCCUCGUGUCGGCGGUUCGAUUCCGUCCUA